rnacentral:rRNA from 1 species
CACCAGACUCCUACGGGAGGCAGCAGUGGGGGAUAUUGCACAAUGGGGGGAACCCUGAUGCAGCGACGCCGCGUGGGUGAAGAAGUAUUUCGGUAUGUAAAGCCCUAUCGGCAGGGAAGAAAUUGGACGGUACCUGACUAAGAAGCCCCGGCUAACUACGUGCCAGCAGCCGCGGUAAUACGUAGGGGGCAAGCGUUAUCCGGAUUCACUGGGUGUAAAGGGAGCGUAGACGGCCAUGCAAGCCUGGAGUGAAAGCCCGGGGCCCAACCCCGGGACUGCUCUGGGAACUGUGCGGCUGGAGUGCGGGAGGGGCAGGCGGAAUUCCUGGUGUAGCGGUGAAAUGCGUAGAUAUCAGGAGGAACACCGGCGGCGAAGGCGGCCUGCUGGACCGCGACUGACGUUGAGGCUCGAAAGCGUGGGGAGCAAACAGGAUUAGAUACCCGUGUAA